rnacentral:rRNA from 3 species
GGACUACCAGGGUAUCUAAUCCCGUUCGCUACCCUAGCUUUCGUGCCUCAGCGUCAGAAAAGACCCAGUACGCCGCUUUCGCCACCGGUGUUCCUUAGGAUAUCAACGCAUUUCACCGCUCCACCCUAAGUUCCGCGUACCUCUAUCUUCCUCAAGCACAGCAGUUUCGGGCGCCGUUCCUCAGUUGAGCUGAGGGAUUUCACACCCGACUUGCUGCACCGCCUACGCACCCUUUAAGCCCAGUAAUUCCGAAUAACGUUAGCAAGGUUCGUCUUACCGCGGCGGCUGGCAC